rnacentral:rRNA from 1 species
AACAGGAUUAGAUACCCUGGUAGUCCACGCCCUAAACGAUGCAUAUUUGGUGUGGGUCAUUCAGUUGAUCCGUGCCGGAGCUAACGCGUUAAAUAUGCCGCCUGGGGAGUACAGUCGCAAGGCCGAAACUCAAAGGAAUUGACGGGGGCCCGCACAAGCGGUGGAGCAUGUGGUUUAAUUCGACGCAACGCGAAGAACCUUACCUGGGCUCGAAAUGGUAGUGACCAGCUUAUGAAAGUAGGCCUUCCCGCAAGGGACACUAUUAUAGGUGCUGCAUGGCUGUCGUCAGCUCGUGUCGUGAGAUGUUGGGUUAAGUCCCGCAACGAGCGCAACCCUUGUCCUGUGUUGCCAUACCGAAAGGUGGAACUCGCAGGAGACCGCCAGGGGUAACCUGGAGGAAGGUGGGGAUGACGUCAAGUCCUCAUGGCCUUUAUGUCCAGGGCUACACACGUGCUACAAUGGACGGUACAAAGGGCUGCCAACCCGCGAGGGGGAGCCAAUCCCAAAAAACCGUUCUCAGUUCGGAUUGCAGGCUGCAACUCGCCUGCAUGAAGCUGGAAUCGCUAGUAAUGGUGGAUCAGAACGCCACCGUGAAUACGUUCCCGGGCCUUGUACACACCGCCCGUCACAUCACGAAAGUGGGUUGUACUAGAAGUUCGCGCGCUAACCCGCAAGGGAGGCAGCGGCCCAAGGUAUGACUCAUGAUUGGGGUGAAGUCGUAACAAGGUAACC